AACGAACGCUGGCGGCAUGGAUUAGGCAUGCAAGUCGAACGUGAAGUUCUCCCGUUCGGGGAGGACGGAAAGUGGCGAACGGGUGAGUAACGCGUGAGUAACUUGCCUUAAGGUUGGGAAUAGCCCCGUGAAAAUGGGAUUAAUACCGAAUGUGGCGGUGCGCCGUUGGGUGCAUUUGCUAAAGUUUUUCUCUCUUUCGGGAGAGAGAUGCGCCUUAAGAUGGGCUCGCGUCCUAUUAGCUUGUUGGUGAGGUAAUGGCUCACCAAGGCUACGACAGGUAGGCGGUCUGAGAGGACGAUCACCCACACUGGGACUGAGACACUGCCCAG
rnacentral:rRNA from 1 species